UGGGGAAUAUUGCACAAUGGGCGCAAGCCUGAUGCAGCCAUGCCGCGUGUAUGAAGAAGGCCUUCGGGUUGUAAAGUACUUUCAGCGGGGAGGAAGGGAGUAAAGUUAAUACCUUUGCUCAUUGACGUUACCCGCAGAAGAAGCACCGGCUAACUCCGUGCCAGCAGCCGCGGUAAUACGGAGGGUGCAAGCGUUAAUCGGAAUUACUGGGCGUAAAGCGCACGCAGGCGGUUUGUUAAGUCAGAUGUGAAAUCCCCGGUCUCAACCUGGGAACUGCAUCUGAUACUGGCAAGCUUGAGUCUCGUAGAGGGGGGUAGAAUUCCAGGUGUAGCGGUGAAAUGCGUAGAGAUCUGGAGGAAUACCGGUGGCGAAGGCGGCCCCCUGGACGAAGACUGACGCUCAGGUGCGAAAGCGUGGGGAGCAAACAGG
rnacentral:rRNA from 1 species